GGGUUGAAAUUUUGCAGGGUUGUUGAAAUCAAAUUUAGGGACUUUACUGACGGGACUCUGGGCUGGCUGCUCUGUUCACUCGUCAGCGCAAGUGGCGUGACCAAGUAAUUGGGGCACGGGGCCGGCGCGGCGCGCUGCGGGCUUGCAGAAUUUUGUUUGUUUGUUUGGCCGCACGCUGGCGCAGCCACGGGCCGCAGUUACUGGGGCGCGCUGUCGUAACAAGCCGCGCGGUGUGGCCUGCACAUUGGGGUAGAGGGGGGGUAGUCUUCCCAGAUGUUCUAGUUAGUUGUUUAGUAAAUUUGACUUCAAUAACGAGCUUUUGUUAUGGUAGGCGCGGCAGGGCGCGCGAAUUUAAGCGCAAGUGAUUGGUGACUCGGGGCUCACUCAGGCGGAGGCUAUGCGUCUCACCUGUGGUCACGAGUUGUUAGUUCGUUCGUGAUGUAGGAAUUCAGGCUCACUCAGGCGGAGGCUAUGCGUCUCACCUGUGGUCACGAGUUGUUAGUUCGUUCGUGAUGUAGGAAUUCAAGCUUUCGGGCGGAAGCUAUGGUCGACGCCAGAGGCCACGAGUCGUUUAAUUUAAGUUAGGUCAUAAUGUAGUCGUCAAGCUUUCGGGCGGAGGCUAUGGCCCUCGUCAGGGGUCACGCGUCAUAGUUUUUAAAAUGUAAUGUUCGUUCGGGAUUUCAAGGGCAGGAGAGGCCCCUACGUUAUUUUUUUAAAGUAAUCGAUCAAGAAAGGCUUUUCGGAAAAUGUGAGUAUGGACUUAUCUUUGUUUUAAUUUUAAGUAUUAAUUAUGAUUUGAGGUAUUCGGAAGGACUAGGGAAGUGUUUAGUGAAGUUCUCUCAUUCUCUCUCUUGUAAGGUCGUUCAAUCGUUAAGGAAGUAAAGAGAUUAUUGUUUUAAAUUGUAAUCCCGCUAUUUAAAUGUUCUUUAAAAUGAUGUUGAGUAUUUGACUUUAAGAAUAAAAUAAUUUUAAUUAAGUAUUAUGUUAUUUUGCAAAAUCUCCUUAGUUCAGCUCUCACCAGACAUCCUGUACGGGAUGACGAACCUAUGAUCCUAGGUACAGUAAAGUAUUUUAUGAAGUUAAGACUAGUUGAUGCCAAGCGAGUUGUUUCUAUGUAAAGAGCUACGAUUCUCGCCCCCCCCCCCCCCCUCUGAAGGUGGAUCGUGACAGAAAUGGUAGAGUUCGCCGGAUAGGUUCUAUUUCUGGAGAGAGAGAGAGGUAGAUUUUUAUGUUUAUUAUUAAGUUAGUUUCAGCUUCUGAUAGCAGGUUAUUAAGAGUUUACUUGAGGAGAGGAUUACGGAAUUUUAGUCUAUAGUGGAGGAAGUCUUUGAGAUUUUUUUUUUGACGUAACAGAUGUUUAUUUGAGGAUACUUGUAAGGAUAAAGUUUAUAGUGAUAAGUUGUUUUAAGUCGUUGAAUUUAUUGUAGAUUUAUAUCGGGGAUUAUUACGUGAGGAGAAUACGUUAUAAGUUAAAUGCUUAUUAGAGAUAAUGCAAGUGGUUUAAUUUAAUUGAAGUUCAUUUUAAGAUUGUAGGUUAAGAGAAUUAUAAUUUAAAAUAAAGUUUUUUGUCGUAAAUAGGAAUUAUUUUCAAGAGAAGUUUGUUUUGUUUUCGUGCGCGUAGGAGACGAGACGUACGAAUUAAAUCAGUCGAGGGAAGGAUAAACGUUAGAAAGGAAUUAAAGAGAAAACGAGAGUUUAUGUAAAAGAGAGUUAUAGAAUUUAUAGUGAUGUUUUGUUUUAAUUAGAAAAAUGUUGAGAGUUGUUUCAGAACGACACGUCAGUGGACGUGGCAGAGUGAACACGUGACGGGGAGGUGCUGAGACCUAGCGGAGAACGGAGGAACCGCAAGCGAGGGUUGGCGCACCUGAUGGAAUUCGGUGACGUCACGGGCUCAUACGGAGACGUGGACAGGCCGUGACCUUGUUUUGAUCAGCUGUACGGUAACUUAGCGAUAAGAAAAUAGACUAUUGGUUAAAUAAAUUUAAAUUUAAGUGUGUUUUAGGAGAAGAGGAACUUUCAGUAUAUUCCUUAAGAUGAGCUGAGCAGCAGUCCAGUUUACAAGAUGACAAGAGUUCGAGAGACAAGAUACAAGAUCACUGAAACAAGAGCCAAGACUGAAGAUUCAAGAGAAGAGAAAGCUGGCAGCCAUGGACUUACAAGUGGAGAUUAAUAAGGUCAUGUAAAGUUUUAUUUUUUUUUAUGGAAGACAGUAACUGGAGUUUUUUUUUGUUAUAAACAUUAUUUACAGAACUUUUUAGGUUAUAGUAAUGUAAUGGAACUAGUGAGUUGUGGUAGCUGUCAAAAAGAACUAAUACCUUAAGUUUAAUUUUUAAAGUUAAUUUUCUUAAUUUACAGAGGGAUUAGUAGUUUUUUUUAAACCUUAUUUAGGUUGGAAUUUAAAUACAAUAGCUUAUUAUAAAUGUGUACGAACAGUUCAAGUUCACAGUACUGAUAGGUAGGUCAGAUGAUCUUAUUGAUUUUGAUGAUUUGUUGUUUUGAGUUGAUUUUUAAGUGUUGUGAAUUAGACAAUGAAAUAGUUCUGAAAACUUAAAUUAUUUCAAGCUAAGAAAUAGUAAAGUUAAUUGUAACUCAAAGGACACCAGAAUUUAAUUUUUUUUUUGAAUUAGUAAUGUUUGAAAAUUUUAUACUUUACAAGAAAGGUUAUAAACAAACAGAUCGGAUGGAACAAGGAUGCAGUAAAUCACAAUUUCAUUUAGAAUUAUUGAUUAGCUUUUGAGGUUAUGAAGUAAAAGUAAUUAUAGUUUAAAAGUUUGAAUAAAAAAAAAAUGUUUUUUUUUAUUUGUUUGAAAUAGAAAGUUUAAAAGUUAAUUAGUCAUGAUCUAGGUGGGUGAUGGGGUGGGAAUUGGCCACUCUUUUUCCCUAUAACCUCCCUAACAUGGCCUUCUAUUACAACUAACAGAAAUAAAGAAGAAGAAAAAUGAAGAAUUAUUAGUUAGAAUGUUUCUUUCAUGAAGAUACCUGAUGAACUUUUACUGUUUGGAAGAAUAGAAGCAAGAUUAAUCAGAUGUUUUACUCAGAAGAAGAAGAAGAAGAAGAUAAAGCAGUUUUAUGACUCGACAAGCCAGAGAUUGGUGUUUCCCCUCUGCGCUUCUAUUGACUACGUUGUUUACUCUCAUGGGAUAGCUGGUUCGGCACCAUGGAGAGAGAUUGGUGGGCAUUGUGGUUGCCCCCAGAAGAAAAGAAGAGUAGAAGAGGUUAUGGGUGGGUCAUGUGAACUGACCUUCAACCCAGUUACUUCGUGGGGACUAUUUGCUGUAUAGAGAAGAUCAAGACUCAAGAGUUAGGGAAAAUCAUUGGAGGUCAUGUUUCCCUUCCUUAAGUUUUUCCUAUCAAAUUAUUUGCCUGAUUAGAUUAUGCUAAGGGUGGGAUACUUUAUGUUAGCAGUUGAAUUAAUUAAUUUUAUUUUUUUGUGUGUUUGCAUCCUUGCCCAUCGAUUGCAGUUUAGUAGUUAGUUUUGUAUUUGUCAGGCGUGAUGGUAAUGCCUGUUGAUGAUGUUUCAGAAUUGUAAUCUGUUCGUGAUGAGGAUGGCACAACUCCGAAGCAGAUGUGGGGAGAAGUUGUGAGCUGCCCUGGAAGCCAGUCCAGUAGCUGUUGGAGUUGAGUGGUGUUUGCUGAUGGCCAGCCCAGGGAGCUACUCUUCUCGACAACACUGACUUCGAGGAGUUGCACCAACCUUCACGAGAUAAGAGUUUAAUUAAUUGAAACACUGUAAGGACACUUAAUUUUUUUUGAAGAACGAAAGAAGUAUGGUAUUAAACGGAAACCGAAAAAAAAAAA